CGAGCGGACAGAUGGGAGCUUGCUCCCUGAUGUUAGCGGCGGACGGGUGAGUAACACGUGGGUAACCUGCCUGUAAGACUGGGAUAACUCCGGGAAACCGGGGCUAAUACCGGAUGCUUGUUUGAACCGCAUGGUUCAAACAUAAAAGGUGGCUUCGGCUACCACUUACAGAUGGACCCGCGGCGCAUUAGCUAGUUGGUGAGGUAAUGGCUCACCAAGGCAACGAUGCGUAGCCGACCUGAGAGGGUGAUCGGCCACACUGGGACUGAGACACGGCCCAGACUCCUACGGGAGGCAGCAGUAGGGAAUCUUCCGCAAUGGACGAAAGUCUGACGGAGCAACGCCGCGUGAGUGAUGAAGGUUUUCGGAUCGUAAAGCUCUGUUGUUAGGGAAGAACAAGUGCCGUUCAAAUAGGGCGGCACCUUGACGGUACCUAACCAGAAAGCCACGGCUAACUACGUGCCAGCAGCCGCGGUAAUACGUAGGUGGCAAGCGUUGUCCGGAAUUAUUGGGCGUAAAGGGCUCGCAGGCGGUUUCUUAAGUCUGAUGUGAAAGCCCCCGGCUCAACCGGGGAGGGUCAUUGGAAACUGGGGAACUUGAGUGCAGAAGAGGAGAGUGGAAUUCCACGUGUAGCGGUGAAAUGCGUAGAGAUGUGGAGGAACACCAGUGGCGAAGGCGACUCUCUGGUCUGUAACUGACGCUGAGGAGCGAAAGCGUGGGGAGCGAACAGGAUUAGAUACCCUGGUAGUCCACGCCGUAAACGAUGAGUGCUAAGUGUUAGGGGGUUUCCGCCCCUUAGUGCUGCAGCUAACGCAUUAAGCACUCCGCCUGGGGAGUACGGUCGCAAGACUGAAACUCAAAGGAAUUGACGGGGGCCCGCACAAGCGGUGGAGCAUGUGGUUUAAUUCGAAGCAACGCGAAGAACCUUACCAGGUCUUGACAUCCUCUGACAMCCCUAGAGAUAGGGCUUCCCCUUCGGGGGCAGAGUGACAGGUGGUGCAUGGUUGUCGUCAGCUCGUGUCGUGAGAUGUUGGGUUAAGUCCCGCAACGAGCGCAACCCUUGAUCUUAGUUGCCAGCAUUCAGUUGGGCACUCUAAGGUGACUGCCGGUGACAAACCGGAGGAAGGUGGGGAUGACGUCAAAUCAUCAUGCCCCUUAUGACCUGGGCUACACACGUGCUACAAUGGACAGAACAAAGGGCAGCGAGACCGCGAGGUUAAGCCAAUCCCACAAAUCUGUUCUCAGUUCGGAUCGCAGUCUGCAACUCGACUGCGUGAAGCUGGAAUCGCUAGUAAUCGCGGAUCAGCAUGCCGC
rnacentral:rRNA from 1 species